GCACGACUAAAAAAGUUAAGACAUUAGAGAAUGAAGCCAAACUGGGCUGUAAAAAGCCAUAAGUUACAAUAACCACAUCUAAUACUAAACAAAUUCCACUCGUGAAAGUCAGGACACAAACUAAGAUUAGAUACCUUACUAUGCCUAACUGUAACACAACAAUUAAACUACCAAUUGUUCGCCAAAUAACUACGAGUAAAAACUUAAAAUUUAAAAGACUUGACGGUACCUCACAACAGCCUAGAGGAGCCUGUCCAUAACCGAUACCCCACGAUUAACCUCACCCCCCCUGGCCAACAGUCUAUAUACCGCCGUCGCCAGCCUACCUUAUGAAAGAAACAAAGUAAGCCAAAUAGUCACACACUAGCACGACAGGUCGAGGUGUAACUUAUGGGGGGGCCAAGAUGGGCUACAUUUUCUAACACAGAAUAAACGAAUAAACUAUGAAAAAGAAACUGAAGGCGGAUUUAGCAGUACACUGGGAACAAAAUACCCAGUCGAAAUCAAUGCAAUGAGGUGCGUACACACCGCCCGUCAUCCCUGUUGCCAAACCUACACAAAUCCAUAAAAACAAAAAGUAAUCAAAGCAGGGCAAGUCGU
rnacentral:rRNA from 1 species